GUUUGCUCCCUUCUCUCUGUGCUGGUCCAUCGUUUGUUUCAUGCGGUUCUACACUCUGGGUUUUGGAUUUAUCUCGUUCCAUGUUCCUCAUCUCUGGAUGUUGUGGGGUUUCUGUUUGGACUGUCACCGUCACCACACCUUUCCUGACUAACUGCAAACGAGGUGCAGCAUGUUCAUCAGUGAGCUUCAGAGACUGAACGGCCGCAGUGAGAAACUAACCUUUGACCCUGAGCAGCCGGCUUACACACACCCUGGAUCAGCAAAGUGAUCCAUUCAUUUAUUUUGUGGUAGUUUUUUGAUGUCGUGCGUUUCCUCUGUUCAGCAUUGUUGAUGUAUAUUUGCAUGUUCAGCUGUUUCUGUCCCCGUUUUCUUAUCUUAGUUUUUAGUCCAGCUUCUUAGUUCUUUGAGGUGUUUAUUAGUUUAGAUUUUACAGAUAUUCUGUGGUCUGUUUUGUUGUCGCUGGU